rnacentral:rRNA from 1 species
GUUGCAGUUAAAAGCUCGUAGUUGAAUUUUGGCCUUGGUUUGUGAGGUUCGGCCUUCACUGGUCGGUACCUUUACGAACCGGGCUCCACCUUCUGGGUUAGCCAGUUGUUACUUCGGUGCAGCUGGUGAACCAGAACUUUUACUUUGAAAAAAUUGGAGUGUUUAAAGCAGGCUUUCAAGCUUGAACAUAUUAGCAUGGAAUAAUGAAAUAGGACUUUGGCCUUAUUUCGUUGGUUUCUAAAGCCAAGGUAAUGAUGAAUAGGGAUAGUUGGGGACAUUAGUAUUCAAUUGUCAGAGGUGAAAUUCUUGGAUUUAUUGAAGACUAACUUCUGCGAAAGCAUUUGUCAAGGAUGUUUUCAUUAAUCAAGAACGAAAGUUAGGGGAUCGAAGACGAUCAGAUACCGUCGUAGUCUUAACCAUAAACUAUGCCGACUAAGGAUCGGAUGGUGUUAUAUUUAUAUUGACCCAUUCGGCAUCUCAGCGAAAGCCAAGUUUUUGGGUUCCGGGGGGAGUAUGGUCGCAAGGCUGAAACUUAAAGGAAUUGACGGAAGGGCACCACCAGGAGUGGAGCCUGCGGCUUAAUUUGACUCAACACGGGGAAACUCACCAGGUCCAGACAUAGUAAGGAUUGACAGAUUGAGAGCUCUUUCUUGAUUCUAUGGGGUGGUGGUGCAUGGCCGUUCUUAGUUCGUGGAGUGAUUUGUCUGGUUAAUUCCGAUAACGAACGAGACCUUACUCUGCUAAAUAGCCAGCAUGACUUUGGUCGUGUCCUUUUUGGCUUCUUAGAGAGACUAUCAUGUUUAUUUGAUGGAGUUUGAGCAUAACAGUCUGUGAUGCCCUUAGAUGUUCUGGGCCGCACGCGCGCUACCACUGAU